AAAAUCCCUCCCACCUUCCUGCGGGACCAAAACGUCGCCGGGACUGCUGACAGGGAUCUGCAUGGGGAGGUCUGAACGUGGCCACUUCUCUCUCACCGAGGAGCCCAGGGCAGGGAGGGAGGGGCGUGCCGGACGGAACUUGCAACGCUGGUGCUCAUCAUCACCCACGGUGCACACCUGAUGGGAAAUCAGCCCCAAAUAUAAACACUAAACAAAACCAAACUGUCUGAGACAACUCUGCCCCCGUCGUUACUGGUGAAGCUUUGCCCCAAGCGACUGGUGCCCUGAGACACGACUCAAUAGAGCACGAAAUCCUUAUGGACAAGCAAGGUAUCUAACAACUGAGCUUUCAGAACGUGGAGACAAACCCCCGCAAUGCUUUUCCCAGCGACGUUUAAAGUUAUGUGCUUUUCAGCUCAGUACUUUUUUGAUAUUUCCCUAAGCAAUGAUAAAUAUUUGGAAAACUCUUUUAAAGUUUCUUGCAUAAUAGCAUGAGACAAAAAACACCUACCACCAGGCAAACACUUAUUUUUUUUCUGCCGCAGUAAAAAUGGCAGAAACAAUGAACAGAAAAUGAUCUGUCGACAAACCGAAAGGCAUUUCUUUGUCAGCAAAUACUGUCGGAAGAUGUAGAGAGAACACUACCACCGAUUGGAAGGAUGUGUUAGCGCAAAUUACCCAGUGUGGGAGGUUUACCGUGUGGUUUUUUACACAUCUCAGCUUAAGAGAGAGAGCGAGCGAGCAAGAGAGUGCACAUGUGUACGCAAGCAAGGGAAGGGCAGAGAGAAAGGAAGAGAGAAUCCCCAGCAGGCUCUGCACUGUCAGCCCAGAGCCUGGUGGGGGCCUCGAACUCAUGAACCGCAAGAUCACGACCUGAGCCGAAAUCAAGAGUCAAACGUUCAACUGACUGAGCCACCCAGGCGCCCCAAAUAAGAUUCUUAUCCCUGAAAUAAUCAGAGUGUUAUUU
rnacentral:lncRNA from 1 species